GAUGAACGCUGGCGGCGUGCCUAAUACAUGCAAGUCGAGCGAACAGACGAGGAGCUUGCUCCUCUGACGUUAGCGGCGGACGGGUGAGUAACACGUGGAUAACCUACCUAUAAGACUGGGAUAACUUCGGGAAACCGGAGCUAAUACCGGAUGAUAUAUUGAACCGCAUGGUUCAAUAGUGAAAGACGGUUUUGCUGUCACUUAUAGAUGGAUCCGCGCCGCAUUAGCUAGUUGGUAAGGUAACGGCUUACCAAGGCAACGAUGCGUAGCCGACCUGAGAGGGUGAUCGGCCACACUGGAACUGAGACACGGUCCAGACUCCUACGGGAGGCAGCAGUAGGGAAUCUUCCGCAAUGGGCGAAAGCCUGACGGAGCAACGCCGCGUGAGUGAUGAAGGUCUUCGGAUCGUAAAACUCUGUUAUUAGGGAAGAACAAAUGUGUAAGUAACUAUGCACGCCUUGACGGUACCUAAUCAGAAAGCCACGGCUAACUACGUG
rnacentral:rRNA from 1 species